GAAAAGUGGGCUACAAAUUGAAACUAACACCAUUGGUUCCACCUUCUGCACAAUAAAGAUUAAAAAUACAUAGACGUUUAAAUACACACUUAUGAGAAUCUCCUAAAAAGUAAAUUUUUAAUGAAAUAAAUAAAAAUCUUACAAAAAGAUUACUAACACGAGC